GUUGCGAACGACUCCAACUACGCCCUCGCCGCCUAAAUCCGGCGAGCGUUUGCCCCACUGGUUCCGAUGCCGGUGGAUGCGAACGUCGACUCUCAUCGGAUCGCGACGGAGCCCGCCCUUGGCCGAGUUGCUAAAACCCUAAGGGGCUAAGCGGUGGCGAUCCGUGCCGGUCCGGGAGCCACCGACGAAAAUCAAAGAGCGGCUAAGCAUGUAGAGCCGAGGGCUACGAAUCGGCGGACGCGGGUUCAAUUCCCGCCAGCUCCACCA
rnacentral:tmRNA from 1 species